rnacentral:rRNA from 1 species
GACGAACCGUGCGAACGUUGUUCGGAUUCACUGGGCUUAAAGGGCGCGUAGGCGGAUGGUCAAGUCGGGGGUGAAAUCUUUCAGCUUAACUGGAAAAGUGCCUCCGAUACUGACUGUCUCGAGGGAGGUAGGGGCAUGUGGAACUCCCGGUGGAGCGGUGAAAUGCGUAGAUAUCGGAAGGAACGCCGGUGGCGAAAGCGACGUGCUGGACCUCUUCUGACGCUGAGGCGCGAAAGCUAGGGGAGCAAACGGG